rnacentral:misc_RNA from 1 species
ACAUCUCAACACAGACAGGUUUUACCACCUGUUCUGAUUGCUUGGAUGCUGAAGGCUUGCUGGUGAAUCACCAGCUCCUUUUAAAAUCAUUAGCAGAAAACAAUGCAAAAAUCUGGCUUCAGUUUGAUAAAGAACUUAUCUGUUUUGCUGUUGCUGGUGGAAAGCUAUUGUUUCAGCUUCUAACUGUCCACUUUGAUGGACUGUCUCAUCAGAGGCAUAUUAAUUUAAC